rnacentral:rRNA from 1 species
UUGGAGUUGCUAGUAAUCGCGGAUCAGCAUGUCGCGGUGAAUACGUUCCCGGGCCUUGUACACACCGCCCGUCACACCAUGGGAGUUGGGAGCGCCCGAAGCCGGUGAGGUAACCGAGAGGAGCCAGCCGUCGAAGGUGAGACCAAUGACUGGGGUGAAGUCGUAACAAGGUAAC